rnacentral:rRNA from 1 species
AUACGGAGGGUGCAAGCGUUACUCGGAAUCACUGGGCGUAAAGCGCGCGCAGGCGGGCUGAUAAGUUGGAUGUGAAAGCCUACGGCUCAACCGUAGAACUGCAUCCAAAACUGUCAGUCUAGAGUGUGGGAGAGGAAGAUGGAAUUAGUUGUGUAGGGGUAAAAUCCGUAGAGAUAACUAGGAAUACCAAAAGCGAAGGCAAUCUUCUGGAACACUACUGACGCUGCGGCGCGAAGGCGUGGGGAGCAAACAGGAUUAGAAACCCCAGUAGUCC